UUUUGGCUUGCAUGAACCUGCGGCACGCGUCAACUCAGUGCUGCGCGGAGAGCCCGGAGCUUCUUCGGCUGUUAAAGUGCACUUUUAACAUCAUGAGAUCACUCGACUCUGAGGAGGCGCUCGUACGGAAAAGCACGCUCAUUUAAUCCGCUGAGUUUUUACCAGAAAAGCAAACCUGCAAACUGGUGAAAACCCACCAAUCUUCUCGCAUCUGUCGUCUCGUCGCUGGAUCUAAAACAGACGCGACGGCGUUCCUUACAGACUGUUCACUAUGCAUGUUCAGCAGUCUUUCUUUGGCUUCACGCGCUCUGUAAUAUUUACACCUGUAUUUAUAUAUUUUAUUUGAUCUUAUUGUAUUUAGUUCUGUCAUGAUGAACUGUACAGAAGGUUUUUUGUUUAGUUUUUUUAUGUUAACAUCAAUGUGUGAUCAGUUUGCAGCGAUGUAAAAAACUGUUUGCUGUAGAAAUAAAAAGACCGAGAACUGAUCUCA